UGGGGAAUCUUCGACAAUGGGGGACACCCUGAUCUAGCCAUGCCGCGUGAGUGACGAAGGCCUUAGGGUCGUAAAGCUCUUUCGCCAGGGAUGAUAAUGACAGUACCUGGUAAAGACACCCCGGCUAACUCCGUGCCAGCAGCCGCGGUAAAACGGAGGGGGUUAGCGUUGUUCGGAAUUACUGCGCGUAAAGCGCACGUAGGCGGACUAUUAAGUCAGGGGUGAAAUCCCGGGGCUCAACCCCGGAACUGCCUUUGAUACUGGUAGUCUUGAGUUCUAGAGAGGUGAGUGGAAUUCCGAGUGUAGAGGUGAAAUUCGUAGAUAUUCGGAGGAACACCAGUGGCGAAGGCUGCUCACUGGCUCGAUACUGACGCUGAGGUGCGAAAGCGUGGGGAGCAAACAGGAUUAGAUACCCCCGUAGUCC
rnacentral:rRNA from 1 species